rnacentral:misc_RNA from 1 species
GAAGAUCCAAGGGUAUUCUAUUCAUUAUGCCUGUCAUUGUGCUCAGUGCUUACCUGUUUUUUCUUUUUUGUUAAUAAAGAACGGCAUUCUGCAGAAUCAAAUGGUUGCAUGAAAUAACUAGUAAUUAUCAUUAGCAGAAUCAUGAAAGAACGUGGAAGUGAGUAAUGCAACUUGGGGCAUGGGAUGUGUGUUCAGGAUUAUCAAAUCACAAACUAGACCAUUCUGGCAAGCAUUUGAGUGUGCCUUUUGUUUUUAUUUGCAUUCUGUGUCUAACCAAAUUAUGCCAUUGUCAUUGCCGCUCAAUUGUGUCUCUCUCUUAUUUUCUUGGGAAGAUAAGUACCACGUUCUUAUCAAUUCCAUUUCUAAAAGAUGCUAUCAAUAACCAAAGGAAUAGUUGUUCUAUUGAAGUUGGAUUUGUUUG